rnacentral:rRNA from 1 species
CUCAUAAAGUGCGUCGUAGUCCGGAUUGGAGUCUGCAACUCGACUCCAUGAAGUCGGAAUCGCUAGUAAUCGUGGAUCAGAAUGCCACGGUGAAUACGUUCCCGGGCCUUGUACACACCGCCCGUCACACCAUGGGAGUGGGUUGCAAAAGAAGUAGGUAGCUUAACCUUCGGGAGGGCGCUUACCACUUUGUGAUUCAUGACUGGGGUGAAGUCGUAACAAGGUAACCGUAGGGGAACCUGCGGUUGGAUCAC